CUGCAGGGAUGUCAUGGACGCCUUCCAGGCCUGCCUGAAGUCAGCAGGACAGGCGACGGAGUGAGCACGCUGGGUCUGACCACUGGUCGGCUGCACCGAGUCCUCCUCCAUCCCAGCAUCCCCCGGCUCACUGCUCCAUCGGCUCGUCCUUCGUGAUGCGGGGAAGCGGAGGAGAGAGAGAGGGGGAGGGGAGACGGCGGUCUCUCCCUUGUCCACUGUGUGUCUCGAAGAGGUCCCAGUGCGAACAGCACACCUGCUGUCUGUGCAGAGGUUGCAACGAACAAUAAACCUGAGACUGUUUUCUGUG